GACGAACGCUGGCGGCGUGCCUAAUACAUGCAAGUCGAACGCAGUGGGGACGGGGGAGUAACACGUGGGUAACCGCCCAUCAGAGGGGAUAACCCUUGGAAACAGGUGCUAAACCGAUACUGAUGGAUGGACUCGCGGUGCAUUAGCUAGUGGGUGAGGUAAGGGCCCACCAAGGCCACGAUGCAUAGCCGGCCUGAGAGGGUGACCGGCCACACUGGGACGGAGACACGGCCCAGACUCCUACGGGAGGCAGCAGUAGGGAAUCUUCGGCAAUGGACGAAAGUCUGACCGAGCAACGCCGCGUGAGUGAAGAAGGUUUUCGGAUCGUAAAACUCUGUUGUUGGGGAAGCGGUAUCUGAACAGAAAGCCACGGCUAACUACGUGCCAGCAGCCGCGGUAAUAC
rnacentral:rRNA from 1 species